UACGUAGGGGGCAAGCGUUGUCCGGAAUUAUUGGGCGUAAAGCGCGUGUAGGCGGUCCGGUAAGUCCGUUGUGAAAGUCCAGGGCUCAACCCUGGGAUGCCGAUCGAUACUGCCGGACUAGAGUCCGGAAGAGGCGAGUGGAAUUCCCGGUGUAGCGGUGAAAUGCGCAGAUAUCGGGAAGAACAUCGGUGGCGAAAGCGCUCUACUGGACCGCAACUGACACUCAGGGACGAAAGCUAGGGGAGCGAAUGGG
rnacentral:rRNA from 1 species